GAUUUCACAUCUCAGCACUCCUCUCAGUACGGAGUAAGGAAGUGACCAGAAUACACAUCAGAGCUGAGAGCUGUGACCUGGGAAGUUCUCUUAGCUUCUCCUGUAAGGAUGUAUUAUAGACAUAUCUCAGAGGCUGAAGAUUUUGUGGUAUAUAAAAAUCAUCUAAAAGAAACAACCUUUGUGCUGAAGAGAUUAUCACAUAUGUGGAACAAUGCCUGGUGAAACUUCUACAGGAUUUUGGGAGAUAUUUUGGAGAAAUUUAUCUACUGAAUAUCUCAUGAGAUAAACAUGAAAUAGCACAAAAGUGGAUGUGAAAGAAUAAGGAGAGAGUUGAAAGGAAUGGGUUCCUUGGUGACACAUGGACAGGGGAAGCCACCUUGCUCACAGAGCUGGGGUCUCAUUUCAAGCACACCUUGGUCACACCAGGAUUUGUGGGAGAAAGGUCUGAAGAAUGUAUGGAAGGCAUGGGCAAGUUAAGGGUCUCGACACAGGAAUGGCAGGAGAGCAGAGGUGUUUACUUCAAAGCGUGGCGGUUUGUUACUUCCUUCAAGGAUGGACACCAUAGGAAAAGGAGAUAAUCGGUUGCCAAGGUCAUUCAAUGGGUAAAUGAUUGGGAUGAGAAUAAAAUACAGGUUUUGACUUCCACAGUU